CUAUUAAGUGUAAUACUGAAAUGCUGAGCUGUAGAAAAUAUAUGAUAUGGAUUUAAUGUCUAAAACAGAGUUUUGUGAGCUCCAUGAAGCGGAGUACAUGGAGGUCCUCCUGCAUAUCUCGGUCCGUUGGCUAAGCCUUGAACGUUGUGUGACCAGGAUCCUGAGGCUGUAUGAACCUCUGGCCAGCUACUACAAAUCUGCUAAUGAAAAUCAGGCCAGGUUCAAGAGACUUGUGCAGACAUUCACUGACCCCAUGACAGAAGUGUACCUGCUGUUCUUCCAAGCCACCGUACCAACUUUCACUUCUUUCAACUUGCUGCUUCAGAGAGAGCAGUCAUCAAUAUUUUUGUUACAUGAUGAGAUGGUGAAAUUCGUACGCAAGCUAUGUUCA